UUUGGGAGCACUCCACUCCAGAAAAACCAGCUCCACUCCACCAGCUCCACAUUUUCCUAGCUCCACUCCACCAACUCCAAAAAAAUAUGGAGCUGCUGCACGUGUUUGGCUAAUGGCAGUACUCCAGCUCCAAAAACAUUAGCACUUGUUGUGAAUGGUCUAUUAUACCCAUGUGAAUGGGUCCCACUUGUCAGUCUCCUUU
rnacentral:lncRNA from 1 species